UACGUAGGGUGCGAGCGUUGUCCGGAAUUAUUGGGCGUAAAGGGCUCGUAGGCGGUCUGUUGCGUCGGGAGUGAAAACUCAGGGCUUAACCCUGAGCCUGCUUCCGAUACGGGCAGACUAGAGGUAUGCAGGGGAGAACGGAAUUCCUGGUGUAGCGGUGAAAUGCGCAGAUAUCAGGAGGAACACCGGUGGCGAAGGCGGUUCUCUGGGCCUUACCUGACGCUAAGGAGCGAAAGCGUGGGGAGCAAACAGG
rnacentral:rRNA from 1 species